UACUUUCUAUUAAUGGAAGUUAAAAGGAUUAAAUGUCAUAUUAAAUUGAAGAUGAGGGGCUUCCAUGCAAAUUUUUGAUAGUGGAUUACAAAUGUCAACUUAACAAUCCAUUGUUCCAUUUCACAUUACAUAUAUACACAUAUAGACGGCAGAAAGAACCAGAGAAACCGAGAGAGACCGAGGAAAGAAAAAAAAAAGAAAAAAAGAAAAGAAAAAAAAAAAGAAAGUGCUGGCGGCGAUAUGUAGGAGGCGAGAUGUUUUUUUUUCAAGUAUUGGGUUGUCUUUCAUAGCCUCAUUGUUUCUACAAUCACAAGUAGGUAGUGACGUGGAAGCUUGGAGAUGCCCGUCAAUUUAGCCAAGAUUUUUAUCCAUAAAUCACAGAUGGUAGCUACGUUGAGCGACAUUGGAGCCUAUCGAUCUGCGAGUCGAGCCACAUGGUGUAUUUAUUGUAUGUCUAGUCUUGUCAGUACAUACAUUAUAUAUUUUUGGGAUUGAUGCAUUUUUAUCAGAAAAUGUAUUUAUAUCAUGGGUUCGCUAUAUAUUUUUAUAUAUGUUUUGCAAAUGGGGUUACCUGGUUCGAAAGGAGUGUAAAUUUCUUUCCAGUACACUUAUUUUGAACAGUUUGUAUUUCGAGGGACUAGUGUGUCCUAUUUUAAAUUAUAUGUAUGGAUUUGAGAAAAUU